rnacentral:rRNA from 1 species
CUACGGGUGGCUGCAGGCGCGAAACCUUUACAAUGUACGUAAGUGCGAUAAGGGAACUCCCAGUGCUCAUGUUAUGCAUGGGCUUUUGCUAAGUGUAAAUAGCUUGGCGAAUAAGUGGUGGGUAAGACGGGUGCCAGCCGCCGCGGUAACACCUGCGCCACGAGUGGCAAUCAUAAUUAUUGGGCCUAAAGCGUCCGUAGCCGGACGUGUAAGUCUUGGGUGAAAUCGUUGCGCUUAACAAAACGACGUGCUUGAGAUACUACAUGUCUUGGAACCGGGAGGCGUUAAGGGUAUUUCUGAGGGACUGGUAAAAUGGUAUAAUCUCAGGAGGACCGCCUGUGGCGAAGGCGCUUAACGAGAACGGAUUCGACGGUGAGGGACGAAAGCUAGGGGAGCAAAACGGAUUAGAUACCCUCGUAGUC